CCAAAACACGUCUAUAUACAUCUGUAUGUUAUCCAUAUUGAAAUCUCUAAAAAUACUUAUAUUUGGAAACGAAGGGAGUAGUAUAUUUCAACACGUAUGCAGAUUAGAAUAUGAUGAAGAAGAAAACAAGGAACUCAAAGAUUAUCAGUGAACCGUCACGCAAAAAGUAUACUCUAGAGAUUACAAGAUGCACAUGUAAUUAAUAAAGGUUUGCUAGAUUCAUUUAAUAAAUUAAAUAUAUAUCCAAUUUGUUUCCCUCCUAAGAUGCACCGGUUCACUCUGAAGUAUGUUUAUUACAACAAAUUAUGUUUAGAAAAAGUAUUAUUUAUCUCUCCCGUUGCAACGCACGGGUCCUUUUGCUAGUCUCUCCCUAAUAAUAAAGCACGGAUUGGGUCUCCGGGUUCACCGUCGCGUCCUUUUUACAGAAAAGACCCUACUGUUUUCUGGUAAUUAACCCGCGGUACUACUUUAAGUGGUCAACGGUGAAAAAACGUUUGGUUCUUGGGCUGACGCACGGGCUCUCCUCCCCCCGCGCAGCGCCCCCCGAGCUCCAGAUCGGGAGGGGAGCUCCCGAUCCAGAGCCCCUCGCCGCCCCGCUGCCUUCGCGCUCGGCCUCGCCACCGGCCGCCGCGCUGUCGUCGACCAUAGCCGGACCUCCACGCCUCGUGCCCCCUCUUAUGAUUGUCCCUCUUCUCCGUUUCCUUCCCCUCUGUUUCUCUCCCUCACACAAGGAUUGCCUCUCCCCUAAUACAGGAGCAGCCAUGGCCACCAAUGACCGCGCCUCACCCGGAUCGAGUCAGAAUCGACCUCCUGCAGCCGUAUCCGCCCCAUCCCGACCUCGCCGACCUUCCUCCCGGUCUUCGUCGCGAUCCAUGGCCGGUCUCGAAGACCAGCGCCUCCCUCCGAAUUUUAGUAAGUUUUGUAUGUCCGUCCCACAAUCCCAUUAUAUCUAGCAGCAACCGCCGCCGCCAGCAGCAGCAGGCGCGGCUGGAGAUCCCCUCGUGGGCCGGCGCCGGCCAAUGAAGGCCCCGGCGCUGGAGGUGCUGCCGGCCGAGAAGCCCGUGCGCGAUGACGAUAAGCGCGAGGGCGUCGCCAACUUGGACACCAUGCUCGCCUUCCCUGAGGACGACGAGCACGACAAGGCAGCGGCGGAGGACGAGGCCAAGGCCAGCGCGCAGGACAAGGGACAGGGAAGACCACCUUCAUGCACCGUCUGGUGUGUCAUAUGCAAGCAUCGGCGAAUAUGAGGCGUUAUGUGCUCAACCUUGACCCUGCGGUGGUGACACUGCCAUUUGGAGCCAACAUUGAUAUCCGUGAUACUGUGCGUUACAAGGAGGUGAUGAAAGAGUACGGACUUAGGUCCCAAUGUUGGCAUUCUUACCUCACUCAACCUGUUCUCAACCAAGUUUGAUGAGGUUAUAUCUGUUAUUGAAAAGCUAGCAGACCAACUGGAUUAUGUGCUGAUGGACACCCCAGGGUAGAUUGAAAUCUUUACUUGGUCGGCUUCAGGAGCUAGCUAUCAUAGCCGAAGCUUUUGCUCGACAUUUCCAAAGGUUGUAACAUAUGUGGUGGACACCCCCAGGUCGACAAACCCUGUUACCUUUAUGAGCAACAUGGUGUAAGCGUGCAGUAUCCUCUACAAGACCCAUUUGCCUUACGUGCCAGAUGAAUAAACAAAGCACCAUUAUUUUGCUGGUAGAGAAAACAAAGCGCCAUGAUAGGCAGCUCCACGGUGUUGAUAUGAUACAUCAGAAAAUAAUACAGUGUGCUGGCAUCCCAAAAUUUCGC